GAGACUCUGUGCGCGUGCAUAUCAAUAAGCGGAGGAAAAGAAACUAACAAGGAUUCCCCUAGUAACGGCGAGUGAAGCGGGAAGAGCUCAAAUUUGAAAUCUUCAAGGUUUGACCUUGACGAAUUGUAGUUUAAAGAAGUGUUUUCGGUUAGAGGAGUAGUAAAAGUUCUUUGGAAUAGGACAUCAUAGAGGGUGAGAAUCCCGUAUUUGACUAUUCUUUCUAGCUUUGUGAUACACUUUCAAAGAGUCGGAUUGUUUGGGAAUGCAGUCCAAAAUGGGUGGUAAAUUUCAUCUAAAGCUAAAUAUUGGCGAGAGACCGAUAGCGAACAAGUACCGUGAGGGAAAGAUGAAAAGAACUUUGAAAAGAGAGUUAAACAGUACGUGAAAUUGUCAAAAGGGAAGCGUUUGACACCAGUGUUGUUUUUCCGAAAAUCAAUUACGAAUGUUUUGUUUUUAAGAAGUUAUGACUUCAUCGGCUUGCUUCUCUCUUUACUGAAACUUUCUUAAUGCACUUUUCGGUUAACAAGUCAACAUCAAUUUCUUUUGUUGUAAAAGGUUAAGAGGAAGGUGGCUUUACUUUCGGGUAAAGUGUUUAUAGCCUUUUAACUCUGCAAUCGGAGAGAUUGAGGUCUGCAGCGUAGAUCCUUCGGGGCUAGAUACGUUUGUGCUAAGUUAUAGCUUUUCAUAGACAACUUGUUGACUAUGUUAAGUCUUGUACUUACUCGCAUGCGCUAUUUUACCUACGCUUAGGAUGUUGACGAUCAGCUGAGCGCG
rnacentral:rRNA from 1 species